rnacentral:lncRNA from 1 species
AACAAGCAAUCCUGUUGGGGAUCUGGCUCUCGAGAUUCGGAGAACGAUGCCUCUUCGAUUUUUGAGAAAGCAAUCCUGCUGGGGGUCUGGCUCUCGAGAUUCGGAGAGCGAUGUCUCUUCGAUUUUUGAGAAAGUAAUCAUGUUGGGAGUCUGGCUCUCAAGAUUCGGAGGGCGGUGCCUCUUCGAUUUUGGAGCAAGCAAUCUUGUUGGGAGUGUUUUCUCGAAUGUGAGUAAAGGUUGGGCAUGUUUGCUAGUCUACCUUGCCACGAAGCACAGAGGUUGACACACAGGGACUUUCCAAUUAUCCAGCAGUGGUACUGUUCCUUUACCCUAUUUUCGAUUUUUGAGAAAGUAAUCAUGUUGGGAGUCUGGCUCUCGAGAUUUGGAGGGCGGUGCCUCUUCGAUUUUGGAGCAAGCAAUCCUGUUGGGAGUGUUUUCUCGAAUGUGAGUAAAGGUUGGGCAUGUUUACUAGUCUACCUUGCCACGAAGCACAGAGGUUGACACACCGGGACUUUCCAAUUAUCCAGCAGUGGUACUGUUCCUUUACCCUUGUGGGUAAUAAUAUGGUAGCUAGACCUUCAAAAUUUAUGUGUCUAAACUUUGUUAGUGUUGUUUCUUUGCAAUUCUUUUACCCUUCUUGGUCAGAGCGAUGUAGCGGGAGCUGCAAGCUUCACGUGUCUCAACUUUGUCAGAGAAC